AACAAGUCAAAAAUUGAGCUCAGAUUUGUUUAUCCCAUAUAAAUCAAGUAAUCAACGCACGGUCCGGAGCGGUCCACAAAGAAGAUACACAGAGCAGAUUAGAUUGAGUUGAGCAAAUGAAAACCAGAGAACUAC
rnacentral:sRNA from 1 species